UUAAGCGACUAAGCGUACACGGUGGAUGCCCUGGCAGUCAGAGGCGAUGAAGGACGUGCUAAUCUGCGAAAAGCGCCGGCGAGGUGAUAUGAACCUUUGACCCGGCGAUGUCCGAAUGGGGAAACCCAGUGCAAUUCGUUGCACUAUCGUUAACUGAAUACAUAGGUUAACGAGGCGAACCGGGGGAACUGAAACAUCUAAGUACCCCGAGGAAAAGAAAUCAACCGAGAUUCCCCCAGUAGCGGCGAGCGAACGGGGAGCAGCCCAGAGUCUGAAUCAGCUUGUGUGUUAGUGGAAGCGUCUGGAAAGUCGCACGGUACAGGGUGACAGUCCCGUACACGAAAGCACACAGGUUGUGAACUCGAAGAGUAGGGCGGGACACGUGGUAUCCUGUCUGAAUAUGGGGGGACCAUCCUCCAAGGCUAAAUACUCCUGACUGACCGAUAGUGAACCAGUACCGUGAGGGAAAGGCGAAAAGAACCCCGGCGAGGGGAGUGAAAAAGAACCUGAAACCGUGUACGUACAAGCAGUGGGAGCACCUUCGUGGUGUGACUGCGUACCUUUUGUAUAAUGGGUCAGCGACUUAUAUUCUGUAGCAAGGUUAACCGUAUAGGGGAGCCGAAGGGAAACCGAGUCUUAACUGGGCGUUAAGUUGCAGGGUAUAGACCCGAAACCCGGUGAUCUAGCCAUGGGCAGGUUGAAGGUUGGGUAACACUAACUGGAGGACCGAACCGACUAAUGUUGAAAAAUUAGCGGAUGACUUGUGGCUGGGGGUGAAAGGCCAAUCAAACCGGGAGAUAGCUGGUUCUCCCCGAAAGCUAUUUAGGUAGCGCCUCGUGAACUCAUCUUCGGGGGUAGAGCACUGUUUCGGCUAGGGGGCCAUCCCGGCUUACCAACCCGAUGCAAACUACGAAUACCGAAGAAUGUUAUCACGGGAGACACACGGCGGGUGCUAACGUCCGUCGUGAAGAGGGAAACAACCCAGACCGCCAGCUAAGGUCCCAAAGUCAUGGUUAAGUGGGAAACGAUGUGGGAAGGCACAGACAGCCAGGAUGUUGGCUUAGAAGCAGCCAUCAUUUAAAGAAAGCGUAAUAGCUCACUGGUCGAGUCGGCCUGCGCGGAAGAUGUAACGGGGCUAAACCAUGCACCGAAGCUGCGGCAGCGACGCGUAUGCGUUGUUGGGUAGGGGAGCGUUCUGUAAGCCGUUGAAGGUGUGCUGUGAGGCAUGCUGGAGGUAUCAGAAGUGCGAAUGCUGACAUAAGUAACGAUAAAGCGGGUGAAAAGCCCGCUCGCCGGAAGACCAAGGGUUCCUGUCCAACGUUAAUCGGGGCAGGGUGAGUCGACCCCUAAGGCGAGGCCGAAAGGCGUAGUCGAUGGGAAACAGGUUAAUAUUCCUGUACUUGGUGUUACUGCGAAGGGGGGACGGAGAAGGCUAUGUUAGCCGGGCGACGGUUGUCCCGGUUUAAGCAUGUAGGCGGAGGUUCCAGGUAAAUCCGGUACCUUUUAACGCUGAGGUGUGAUGACGAGGCACUACGGUGCUGAAGUAACAAAUGCCCUGCUUCCAGGAAAAGCCUCUAAGCAUCAGGUAACAUCAAAUCGUACCCCAAACCGACACAGGUGGUCAGGUAGAGAAUACCAAGGCGCUUGAGAGAACUCGGGUGAAGGAACUAGGCAAAAUGGUGCCGUAACUUCGGGAGAAGGCACGCUGAUAUGUAGGUGAAGCCCCUGCGGGUGGAGCUGAAAUCAGUCGAAGAUACCAGCUGGCUGCAACUGUUUAUUAAAAACACAGCACUGUGCAAACACGAAAGUGGACGUAUACGGUGUGACGCCUGCCCGGUGCCGGAAGGUUAAUUGAUGGGGUUAGCGGUAACGCGAAGCUCUUGAUCGAAGCCCCGGUAAACGGCGGCCGUAACUAUAACGGUCCUAAGGUAGCGAAAUUCCUUGUCGGGUAAGUUCCGACCUGCACGAAUGGCGUAAUGAUGGCCAGGCUGUCUCCACCCGAGACUCAGUGAAAUUGAACUCGCUGUGAAGAUGCAGUGUACCCGCGGCAAGACGGAAAGACCCCGUGAACCUUUACUAUAGCUUGACACUGAACACUGGUCCUUGAUGUGUAGGAUAGGUGGGAGGCUUUGAAGCGUGGACGCCAGUCUGCGUGGAGCCGUCCUUGAAAUACCACCCUUUAAUGGCUGGUGUUCUAACGUAGACCCGUAAUCCGGGUUGCGGACAGUGUCUGGUGGGUAGUUUGACUGGGGCGGUCUCCUCCCAAAGAGUAACGGAGGAGCACGAAGGUUAGCUAAUCCUGGUCGGACAUCAGGAGGUUAGUGCAAUGGCAUAAGCUAGCUUGACUGCGAGAGUGACGGCUCGAGCAGGUGCGAAAGCAGGUCAUAGUGAUCCGGUGGUUCUGAAUGGAAGGGCCAUCGCUCAACGGAUAAAAGGUACUCCGGGGAUAACAGGCUGAUACCGCCCAAGAGUUCAUAUCGACGGCGGUGUUUGGCACCUCGAUGUCGGCUCAUCACAUCCUGGGGCUGAAGUAGGUCCCAAGGGUAUGGCUGUUCGCCAUUUAAAGUGGUACGCGAGCUGGGUUUAGAACGUCGUGAGACAGUUCGGUCCCUAUCUGCCGUGGGCGCUGGAGAAUUGAGGGGGGCUGCUCCUAGUACGAGAGGACCGGAGUGGACGCAUCACUGGUGUUCGGGUUGUCAUGCCAAUGGCACUGCCCGGUAGCUAAAUGCGGAAAAGAUAAGUGCUGAAAGCAUCUAAGCACGAAACUUGCCCCGAGAUGAGUUCUCCCUGACCCUUUAAGGGUCCUGAAGGAACGUUGAAGACGACGACGUUGAUAGGUCGGGUGUGUAAGCGCAGCGAUGCGUUGAGCUAACCGAUACUAAUGAACCGUGAGGCUUAACCUU
rnacentral:rRNA from 2 species